GGGCAGGAGGUUCGACUCGAGCGAAGCGAGAGAACGUUGCGUCAGCAACGGCCCGCAGGGCGAGCCACGAAGUGGUGAGUCAUCCUCUAUCACCGACCA
rnacentral:sRNA from 1 species